CUAUUACACAAAAGACAUAUUUCUUAAGAAAAAUUUAAUUUUCAUUAAUAAUUUUUAUUUUGAUUAUGUGUUAAUUGCACCUGAAAAUUUAUUUUUACUAUCACUUCCCAAAAGCGUAGCACGAAGCCCAAUGCCAUCAACGCGCAUUGACAGAUGUUUGUCAUGUCUGUUAGUAUUGGUGCGAUUCAUGCAAUUUUUCGUCCCAUGUAUUAGCAUGUGUGUGCUAUUGACGUUUGUUUGUUGAUUUUGAAAUCAUUCCAGAAGCUGCAAAUGAUAUGGAUGCCGAAAAUUUUAUUUCGCUUCUUUAUUUCGCUACUGUGGAACAAGUGAAGUGAUGCAAAUUUUUGCUCAAAGCGAAUCAAUGGUCACAUGCGCACGAGGUUUCAUGAAGUGUUUUGCCAUGGAUUGUGUUCAACGAAAAUUUCCCUCAUUUGAAAUCGAUACUGAACAAGUUUUAGGAUGUCAACCAAAUUUUCAACUGUUUCAUCAAGGGGCAGAUUUCAAGCGACUUCAUCCAGCUGAAUGUGAAGUUCAACCUGACCCGGAACGUGAUCGACGAAGAGGUGGUUAAGGCUCGGCUCGAGGAAUUCAAGACCAAACUGUCCGAUUAGUGCUUGGUGAUCGAGAUGUUUCCCUGCCCGACUCUGUCAGAACGCAAUCACCCAGCUAUCGGUCAUUCUUCGCCCAGGAUCCGCUGUGCGUUGAUGCAAAACGCGCUCAAGAAGCUGCUUCUGCCCCAGGAGUACGUCCUCGAGAAAUUAAGGCUGAGUGCGUUUCUGGACGAGGAUCUGCAGAAGCAGCAAUUAGAUAGUGUUUGAAAGAAAAGUAUGAUGUAAUUUUAAUCACAAAGCAUUAUUACUGCAAUGCUGAAAUAAAAAAAAACACUCUAGAAUGAAUGAAUAGGCACACAUUCUCUUGUAGGCAGAUUUCAAGAUGAUCACAGGAAGUGAACAGACAAUACACAUAAAUAAGUAGUGCCCCUAGCUUGUUAGAAAUUGUUAUUAUUAUUGCUUCAUAAAAUUUUACACUUUUAUCUAACCGUGUUUCUGGGACUGUUAAAAAAUAUGUGGCAACGGAGCGUGUGAAAUAAAUCAUGCUGUUUGUGUGUUUAGAAAUAAAAUAAAUUAGUGAGUGGAUGAGUACACAGCAA